AGCAAAGUUUACAUCGAACUUUACCUUCACAAAUAGAAAUAGAAAUAUCCAAUAAAUUAAUAAUUAGAUGUUAAGUAGCAAUUCAUGCGAGGAUUGGUUAUUGGGGGUCUUUAGAAAGACCCUUUUAUGAAAUUAGUAUGUAAACAAUAUAAACAAAACAUUCUUUACCAAGAUUCUUUUAUAGAAUUUAUCUACUCCAUGGUUUUUUUUUAUUUUCGUCCAUCUGUGACAUGCAAGAGGUGCUUCGGCACGACAUACUAUGCCAACUUCUCGGAUGAAUUGUUUUCCCCAGUUACAAACUGGUCUUGCUAAACCUGGUUUGAAUUCUAUCUUUGGUUUUAUCAUACCCCCCUUUAUGAGGUCAUUGAGUUGCUCAUUCAGCGCCUUGCCUCUACGACGAGGAGGUUCGGAAGAUGCUGUUCAAAGAUAAAAAAAAAUUAAUUUAAUUAACUUUAAUAAAAUUCUGCAAUGCUGCAAUGAUUACUAUUAACAAAAAAUGAUCUUAUACCACCAGUAUUUGAGCCCUGCUCAGAUGAUACAGAUUGUGCAUUCGAUCUUGACCUCGACCUUGAUCCACUUCCAGGUCCCAUAACUACACAUCAAAACAGAGAUUAACUGAACCAAAAGAAAUCAAGAAAGAAAUUCAGGUUCUACAUUAGUAUGACUAUGUAGUAUUUGUUUUUAAGGUUUGUGAGCUUAAAAGAAGGAAACACAAUUCAAAUGUUUAAUACUUAAGUUAAGAAUAAGCUUCAGUAUUAAUGAAAAGCAACCAAAUAAGUUUUAUAGCAUCUUUCAUAUUUCUCUUCUUAAACAUUAUUGUACAAUUAGAUUUCAUUGAAUAAGCUAUGUACAUAGACUAAAAGAGAAGAAGGAGAAAGAUAAUGGUGGUGGUGGUCACUGGUUUCUGGUGGUGGUGAGAAGUGGAUAGAUGGUGACAAUUGACAAAUAGCUAGCCCCCUUAAAAGAAAGAAAUAAAAUCGAAAGGGCUGAAGUUGACAUAAAAAUAAACAAAACUCACUCACUCACUCAUUCAUUCACACAAAAACAAAAGUGAAAAAACUGAGUAAAUUAGCACUAAAACAGAGUAAAGUAUUAGUACUAAUUAAUAAUCCCAUAAUAAAGCUUCAAAGCUAGUUGGAAUAACACUAUCUGGAAGCAUUAACUGAUUAGGAAGAUAAACACAAUCAUCUCCACUUUGCAACCAUGGUGGUGGAUAUAGCCAAGCAUCACAAGAAUCACUAAAGAUGAAAUCCUUUUGUGAAUCAGCAGAAUCAAAACAUGAUUCAACAAUAUUGCUUAAAACUAUCAAACACAUUAAAGGCAAAAAAAACAUUUACUGCACAAAAAUGACUCACAACAAACCACUAGAAGAAAAAAAAACUUGAGAAAAAAUUAAUAGCUUCUCUAAUUAUCGAAAAUUACCUGUGUUUUUCUCCUUUUGCAACCCUUAAAUUACCACAACUACACAAAUCUUUGCUGAAACACAAGAACAAGGGAACAAAAUGUUACAAUUGAAAAAAAAAUUGAGUUUUUUGCAGAAAUAAUUGAAAUUGGAGAGAAGAGGGAUAAAGUAAUUUAUUUAGUUAGAGAAAGAGAGAACAGAGAUUGCUAAGUAUAGAGAUGCUUAAGAGAGAGGGAGAGAGACGAACCUGCAACUAGUAGUGUUUUGCCCCCUUAGGUUUUCUUUUUUUCUCUCUUAUAGUUUGGAUGUUAUUUGCAGCAACAAAAAACCUAGGGAAUAUAGAG
rnacentral:lncRNA from 1 species